CAGUCGCCGCGGGAACACGUAGGGUGCAAGCGUUAAUCGGAAUUACUGGGCGUAAAGCGUGCGCAGGCGGUUUGUUAAGACGGAUGUGAAAUCCCCGGGCUCAACCUGGGAACUGCAUUCGUGACUGGCAAGCUAGAGUAUGGCAGAGGGGGGUGGAAUUCCACGUGUAGCAGUGAAAUGCGUAGAGAUGUGGAGGAACACGGAUGGCGAAGGCAGCCCCCUGGGCCAAUACUGACGCUCAUGCACGAAAGCGUGGGGAGCAAACAGGAUUAGAGACCCCAGUAGUCCCUGUCUCUUAUAA
rnacentral:rRNA from 1 species